UCGACUAGAGUAUUUAUACUUGUUAUAUUCUGUUAUAAAAUCAAUUACUCUAAUAUCUAAUCAAACAAACUUAGGUACUUUAGUGCCUGAUAAGAGCGCACGAAAAAAGUAAAUGGCUUUCUAUUUCCUGACAUUUGGUAUAAAAUCAAAUCAUGUCUCCACCGUUGCUGCUGUCAGUUAGUGCUUUUUACUUAAUUACCUUUACAAAUAUAAUUUUCGGAUAUUCAUUUCAAUAUGGCCAAAUGGAUCCAGCUGCCGUGCCCAUUCAUGAGGACGAUAUAAGUUGGAAUUGUGACGAACGCUAUGUAGAAUACGACGACAAGAUAAUAAGGCAACUUGAAAUUUACAAUAAUUCUAAUUUUGGUUUUCGAUGAAACCCCAUUGGAUCCGGUUGCCAUAACAGAGAUCGUUCAAGGUGGCAUCGGCUGCAAUCACACGACAUUGCGCUUGAGCUGCUAUGCAUUGAGCGAGUCUGAGCCCAGGAGUGCCAAAAUAAAUAUUCUCAUAUAUGGAAUAGUGAUGGAUUCAUAGGAGCAAUCCUUAAAAAGUUUUAGUUAAAAGAGCUUCGCAUUCGUGAUAUAGAAAUUAAAUAAACUAGACGUAUGAUAAAAA